GGUGCCGGGCACGGCGGGCUCGGCAGCGCGGGGCAUGGCCCCGGGGAGCCGCUGGCGGGGUAAGGGCGGGUCCGCGGGACACCCCGGAGGGGAAAAGCAUUGCAGUGCUUCGCUCGGGAGGCUGGGGCCUGCGGGCUCCUUGCGUUUUCAGACCUACGUGCCACGAAAAAAGGGGUUUUUGGAAGUCACUGCAAAAGAAAGGUGUGUGUCCAGCCCACUGGCCUUGUCCUCCAUUGCCAGCACAAUGAAUGUUGUCUCUGCAAGCGCUCAUCACCAGCCUGGAAGAGUCCCUCAAUAACUGGAUAAGCAUCGCAGAAACACAACACUUUUUGUGCACCUUAGUCAGAGCAUUGGUCAAGCCAGUAAAGCCAAAAUUGCUUUCGAGUGGUGGUGUGGCAGUAAUGCUCCUGCGGCAUUGUUUGUGCAUGGGCUUCUCUUCACCUUUGGCUCUGUUUAAUCUCUUGUUUGGCAAAACAACACAGUGCUCCUCUC